UGCGCAGGUGGGCUUGUAAGUCAGUGGUGAAAUACUGCCGCUUAACGGUAGAACUGCCAUUGAUACUGCAAGUCUUGAGUAUGGUUGAGGUAGGCGGAAUGUGUUGUGUAGCGGUGAAAUGCAUAGAUAUGACACAGAACUCCAAUUGCGAAGGCAGCUUACUAAGCCAUUACUGACGCUGAGGCACGAAAGCGUGAGGAGCGAACAGGAUUAGAUACCCUGGUAGUCC
rnacentral:rRNA from 1 species